rnacentral:lncRNA from 1 species
GUGUUGCUUAAUCUUCUAUGUUGUGUCUUGUGUACUAUGGUUUGUCUGGGUUUUUUUUCGGUUUUUUUUUAACUAUGGCGUUGUCAUUUAAUUUUCGAUCUUUGAGUUGGAAUUACCCUCUGGUAUCUUUCACCCCUAUCUCAGUACCAGAAUCUAUGACAAAGAUGUUCAUUGAUGAACUAUCAAUUUCCCCACCUAUGUAUCAAUACACCAACUUCAAUUGCAUAUAUAUUUCCCAAAUU